rnacentral:lncRNA from 1 species
GUUACUGGAUGUCCCAUCAUACUUGUGGGCCAGGACUUAGUUAAAUGGCUACACCUUGCUACAAGGAAGUCUGGAAAAUACAGUCUUUCAGCUGGAUACUUCCCCCUGGCCUGAAUAAAAGCUGGGUUCUCUUACAAAGCACAAAAAGGGGAUUGAAUAUUGGUUAGGCACCUGUCAAUCUUUCAUAUCAGCCCAAGUGAGAUAGCCAGGGUUUGGUGAAAUAAAAUGCUGUUUCUCCUCAAAACACUUCUCUCUUCCUGAUUGGGGAGGGGCCCUGUUCUCUGCAGAGAAAUUCUUUCUCAUGACAGGGCCAACAUGUCUGCCAAAAGACAGCAAUAGGACUUCCCAAUCAUUCUAUAUAUUUAAGGGAGACUUUUUAAAAACUAAAAUACGGUUGAACUCAUGUGAUUUUUUUUUGCCAUGAAGUUUCUUGUUAAGCACUGAACAUUUAAAAGUAAAUUUUGACUAAUGUGAAAUAAAAGAAUGUUACUUGAAGCAACAAAAAA